rnacentral:rRNA from 1 species
AAAGUCCCCUUCGGGGGACAAGUAGAGUGGCGCACGGGUGAGUAACACGUAGGUAAUCUACCUUCGGGUGGGGAAUAACAACCGGAAACGGUUGCUAAUACCGCAUAAUGCAGCGGCACCUAAUGGUGACAGUUGUUAAAGCGGGGGAUCGCAAGAUCUCGCGCCUGAAGAGGAGCCUGCGGCGGAUUAGCUAGUUGGUAGGGUAAUGGCCUACCAAGGCGACGAUCCGUAGCCGGCCUGAGAGGGCGGUCGGCCACACUGACACUGACAUACGGGUCAGACUCCUACGGGAGGCAGCAGUCGGGAAUUUUGGGCAAUGGGCGAAAGCCUGACCCAGCAACGCCGCGUGAAGGAUGAAAUCCCUCGGGAUGUAAACUUCGCAAGAACGGGAAGAAUAAGUUUGUGCUAAUACCACAAGCGAUGACGGUACUGUUUGUAAGCUCCGGCUAACUCCGUGCCAGCAGCCGCGGUAAUACGGGGGGAGCGAGCGUUGUUCGGAUUUACUGGGCGUAAAGGGCGCGUAGGCGGCCUCCGCAAGUCAGUUGUGAAAUCUCCGAGCUUAACUCGGAAAGGUCAACUGAUACUGCGGGGCUAGAGUGCGGAAGGGGCAACUGGAAUUCUUGGUGUAGCGGUGAAAUGCGUAGAUAUCAAGAGGAACACCUGCGGCGAAGGCGGGUUGCUGGGCCGACACUGACGCUGAGGCGCGAAAGCUAGGGGAGCGAACGGGAUUAGAUACCCCGGUAGUCCUAGCCUUAAACGAUGAAUGCUUGGUGUCUGGGGUUAUAUAGUCCCCGGGUGCCGUCGCUAACGCUUUAAGCAUUCCGCCU